CAUGCAGUCGAGCGGCAGCGAGUCCUUCGGGAUGCCGGCGAGCGGCGGACGGGUGAGGAAUGCGUCGGAAUCUGCCUUUUUGUGGGGGAUAACGUAGGGAAACUUACGCUAAUACCGCAUACGUCCUACGGGAGAAAGUGGGGGACCGCAAGGCCUCACGCAGAAAGAUGAGCCGACGCCGGAUUAGCUAGUUGGCGGGGUAAAGGCCCACCAAGGCGACGAUCCGUAGCUGGUCUGAGAGGAUGAUCAGCCACACUGGAACUGAGACACGGUCCAGACUCCUACGGGAGGCAGCAGUGGGGAAUAUUGGACAAUGGGCGCAAGCCUGAUCCAGCCAUGCCGCGUGAGUGAAGAAGGCCUUCGGGUUGUAAAGCUCUUUUGUUGGGGAAGAAAAGCAUCCGAUUAAUACCCGGGUGUUCUGACGGUACCCAAAGAAUAAGCACCGGCUAACUUCGUGCCAGCAGCCGCGGUAAUACGAAGGGUGCAAGCGUUACUCGGAAUUACUGGGCGUAAAGCGUGCGUAGGUGGAUCGUUAAGUCUGAUGUGAAAGCCCUGGGCUCAACCUGGGAACUGCAUUGGAUACUGGCGAUCUGGAGUGCGGUAGAGGGUGGCGGAAUUCCCGGUGUAGCAGUGAAAUGCGUAGAUAUCGGGAGGAACAUCCGUGGCGAAGCGGCCACCUGGACCAGCACUGACACUGAGCACGAAAGCGUGGGGAGCAAACAGAUAGAUACCCUGUAG
rnacentral:rRNA from 1 species